rnacentral:rRNA from 1 species
GACAGAGGUGGCAAGCGUUGCUCGGAGUUACUGGGCAUAAAGGGCGCGUAGGCGGUCGUGCACGUCGAGGGUGAAAUCCCCGGGCUUAACCCGGGAACUGCCUUCGAUACGGCGCGACUUGAGUGCGGGAGGGGAGAGUGGAACUCCUGGUGGAGCGGUGAAAUGCGUAGAUAUCAGGAGGAACGCCGGUGGCGAAAGCGACUCUCUGGUCCGCAACUGACGCUGAGGCGCGAAAGCCAGGGGAGCAAACGGG